AUUGAACGCUGGCGGAAUGCUUUACACAUGCAAGUCGAGCGGCAGCGCGGGGCAACCUGGCGGCGAGCGGCGAACGGGUGAGUAAUGCAUCGGAACAUGUCCAUGGAUGGGGGAUAGCCCGGCGAAAGCCGGAUUAAUACCGCAUGAGCCCGAGAGGGGAAAGUGGGGGACCGCAAGGCCUCACGUCGAUGGGUUGGCCGAUGCCCGAUUAGCUAGUUGGUGAGGUAAUGGCUCACCAAGGCGAUGAUCGGUAGCUGGUCUGAGAGGAUGAUCCGCCAAACUGGGACUGAGCCACGGCCCAGACUCCUACGGGACGCAGCAGUAGGGAAUUUUGCACAAUGGGGGCAACCUUGACCCAGCCAUUCCGCGUGAGUGAAGAGGGCCUUCGGGUUGUGAAGCUCUUUUGUCCGGAGCGAAACGGGCCGCGUGGAUAUCGCGCUCUACUGACGGUAACGGAAGAAUAAGCACCGGCUAACUACGCGCCAGCCGCCGCCGUAA
rnacentral:rRNA from 1 species